UUGUUGCUGUAAAGGGUAGAAAGACGAAGAAGACCAGAGGAAUGUGUCUUGACAUGGGCAUGGCUGACUCGCGCGCGUCUUGAAUGGAACUUAGCACGCAGAGAACCACGAGCUCACAGAGGCACGAGCCAAUGUGUAAACAAUACUGUAUCUGAUGGCACAGAUAGGUUGGAUCCAGACAUUUAUUCAUUGUACGUAGGAGUGGAAUAUCACAGGUCGUUUAAAUAUUGUCUGAAGUGGAAAAGUUCCAUGUAUCCUAAACAUUCCUCAAGACUACAAAAGGCCUCCAAGAAAAGCCCCCAGAGUAGUCCCACACAAAAUGAAGAAGUUAUUCAGCGCAGGCUCAGAAGUCGGAGACGGAGGACAGACCUGAAGAAGGCUGAACCUGGUGAAACCACAGUGGCAGAUGAGGGGAAGGUUCGGGACAUCCUCGACGUCAUUAACAGCUCUCAUGAUGUAGAGUGUGUUUCUGAGGACGAAGAAAAAAUCACAGAAAUAACGGAUAAAAGACUGGACGAUUCUGAUGAAGAGUGUCACUCUGUUUGUGACAGCACUGCUUCUGGUCCCUCCCUUGCAUAUCGACAAACCCUCAAGAAACCUUCCCAAAACCUGUGCUCAUCCUGUCGGAAGCUCUAUCAGAGGGCAAAGAGAAUAAAGAAACCAAUCAAAAGCAAACUCCUUGACAAUGAUCCCAUGUCCAUGACAUGUGACCAGUGGGUCCUCAUCAAAAAGUGGGCACCCAGUAGAGUACCUAUUACAAGACGGAGGCCUUUGAGCCACAUACAACUACUAAAGAAGAUCAGUGUGAAGCAAAGAGAGCAAUACGCGAGUGAGGAAGGAUUAUCAACCUGCUCAAGACCACACACUUUCCUUCAGAGGAACCUUAGAUGCUGUUUGAAACUGCAAGAAAAAAAGGAGAAGAAAAAGAGCAACAGGAGGAAGAGAAGGAGAGAUGAUUCACAGGACCCCCGCGAUCGUAAGCAGCAGCGUCGCCACAGCAACAAUGGCACACAGCACAUCCGUAUUAGCUGCUUGGAUGAUGACCUAAACAGCAGUGGUCCCAAUACUGAGGACUGCAUCAAUCAAGAAACCGACGAUCCAAUGGACACAGAUCUAACCAUUGAGUUGAUUCCCACCAGAGUAACUAUGACAACAGCCAAACCAGCAGAGCUUCAAUCCAAGCAGAAAACACCAAGAAAGACGCGCGGUUUCAAAGAUUUGCUAUCGCAGCUGCGGGGCAACACCAGUGUUAUCAUCAGAGAAAAUCGUUAGCUCAGUGAUUUCAAUGAUUUUAUUUACAGCUACAAUUUAAAGAUUCAAGGACUGAUGUAGCUUUUAUUUAUAAUGUGCCUGUUGUGUUCCAUGCAUGUUGGUUUUUCUUAAGUUUGAAAGAAGGAUUGAUUUAAGAUUUCAUACAACAGCAUUAAUUAUUAAACAUGUUUGCUCAUUAUUCACAUUGGUUGCAACUAAAACUUUUUGUGUGUGUACAGUAGCGAUGUGCAGAUCUGAGGUCUGAAACUACACUCAAACACAGCCAGAGGGAAUUAUUUCCUCCAGUUUUAAAAGGCGCAAGUUAUUAGUGACCUGAUUGCACAGUCAACUGUUAGACUGGCUGUAUUGUUGAUAAAGUUGUUAUGUAUAAACCUAUUUAUUUAGAAAUAAGCAAAGUCACAGUCCUUAAAGACAUUCCUGGUUCUUACCUCUACCAGUCUUGUUCUGCAGUGUUUGACUCUCUUUGAACCUCUUUAUAGCACCUCUCAUGCCAGUUCUUGAAACUUGAAAGAACUUUGAUAAACUUCUAUUGUUCUGUUGCUUUGUAGGCAUUAAUCCCUUUUCUCAAGUUUAUUUGCAAUAUUAAACAGCAGAAAAUAUUUGGAGUCUUGUGGUGUGUGUUUGUACACAUCUGUCAUAGCACUGCACUGUGCAGUGUACCAGCUGGAAAAUACCAGGUUAAUUAACACUGUCCUUCACAG
ensembl:lncRNA uncharacterized LOC114449880